rnacentral:tRNA from 1 species
GCAGUGGUGAUUCUGUGUUAGAAUUCUUGCCUUCCAUGUGGGAGGUCCAGGUUCAAUUCCUGACCAAGGCA